rnacentral:rRNA from 1 species
UACGGAGGGGGCUAGCGUUGUUCGGAAUUACUGGGCGUAAAGCGCACGUAGGCGGCUUUGUAAGUUAGAGGUGAAAGCCUGGGGCUCAACUCCAGAACUGCCUUUAAGACUGCAUCGCUUGAACACGGGAGAGGUGAGUGGAAUUCCCAGUGUAGCGGUGAAAUGCGUAGAUAUUGGGAAGAACACCGGUGGCGCAAGCGACUUGCUGGGCCAUAACUGACACUGAGGAACGAAAGCUAGGGGAGCGAAUGGG